rnacentral:lncRNA from 1 species
CUUUGUAUAUGCUCGACUUGUAAAACAGGCCGAUAUAUUCAGUUGUGUAUGUUCGUUGUCUUCCCUUUGAUGUCUUUGAGCUGUGGGAGGACGCUGUACUUCAAUUUUUCCUUUAAGUUGACAGGUUUGCUGUUGUAGAGUUCCCCGAGGAGGACUGCAUCUUGGCAGUUGUUCACGGUUCGUGGUUGAAUCCAAAAAGAAAUAGGACAUAUUGGCCUACUUUGAAAAAUUCAUCGCAGCGGCGUAGAGCCACUGUUGAGGGUGCUGCACCAUCUCCUAGCUGGACACAAGCCAACUGUGUGGUGAAAUCCUGGGCUGACACUUACGAAAAGGCAUGUGAAAAGCAGAAUUUCCUGCAAUAUCAUUCGGACAUGAGCUGUGAAGAGGAACUGGGACGCGGAAAAAGGACAAAAACGAAGUGCCUUGGCUUCUGAUUACAGCAGUGAGCAAGACACGACUGACGACUCGGGUGAUGACUCAAACUACAAACCUCCUAGGCCGCCAAUACCACCUCAACUGGUAACAAACAUUGGUGGCUAUGAACCAGCUGCUGCCCACGCGUCAUUCAAUAUGCCUGGACGACACCGAAAGAAACGCUCUGCAGGU